GAUGAACGCUAGCGGCAGGCUUAACACAUGCAAGUCGAGGGGCAGCAUAAUGGAUAGCAAUAUCUAUGGUGGCGACCGGCGCACGGGUGCGUAACGCGUAUGCAACCUACCUUUAACAGGGGGAUAACACUGAGAAAUUGGUACUAAUACCCCAUAAUAUCAUAGAAGGCAUCUUUUAUGGUUGAAAAUUCCGAUGGUUAGAGAUGGGCAUGCGUUGUAUUAGCUAGUUGGUGGGGUAACGGCUCACCAAGGCGACGAUACAUAGGGGGACUGAGAGGUUAACCCCCCACACUGGUACUGAGACACGGACCAGACUCCUACGGUAGGCAGCAGUGAGGAAUAUUGGUCAAUGGACGCAAGUCUGAACCAGCCAUGCCGCGUGCAGGAUGACGGCUCUAUGAGUUGUAAACUGCUUUUGUACGAGGGUAAACGCAGAUACGUGUAUCUGUCUGAAAGUAUCGUACGAAUAAGGAUCGGCUAACUCCGUG
rnacentral:rRNA from 1 species